rnacentral:rRNA from 1 species
UACGAACCGGCCAAACGUUAUUCGGAAUCACUGGGCUUAAAGGGUACGUAGGCGGCGCUGUUAGUCGGGGGUGAAAGCCCUCGGCUCAACCGAGGAAUUGCGCCCGAUACUGCAGUGCUUGAGGGAGACAGAGGUAAGCGGAACUGAUGGUGGAGCGGUGAAAUGCGUAGAGAUCAUCAGGAACACCGGAGGCGAAAGCGGCUUACUGGGUCUCUUCUGACGCUGAGGUAUGAAAGCUAGGGGAGCGAAUGGG